UAGUGGCGCACGGGUGCGUAACGCGUGGGAAUCUGCCCUUCGGUUGGGAAUAACACAGAGAAAUUUGUGCUAAUACCUUAUAAUGUCUUCGGACCAAAGAUUUAUCGCCGAGGGAUGAGCCCGCGUAGGAUUAGGUAGUUGGUGGGGUAAUGGCCUACCAAGCCGACGAUCCUUAGCUGGUCUGAGAGGAUGAUCAGCCACACUGGGACUGAGACACGGCCCAGACUCCUACGGGAGGCAGCAGUGGGGAAUAUUGGACAAUGGGCGAAAGCCUGAUCCAGCAAUGCCGCGUGAGUGAUGAAGGCCUUAGGGUUGUAAAGCUCUUUUACCAGGGAUGAUAAUGACAGUACCUGGAGAAUAAGCUCCGGCUAACUCCGUGCCAGCAGCCGCGGUAAUACGGAGGGAGCUAGCGUUGUUCGGAAUUACUGGGCGUAAAGCGCGCGUAGGCGGUUACUCAAGUCAGAGGUGAAAGCCCGGGGCUCAACCCCGGAACUGCCUUUGAAACUAGGUAACUAGAAUCUUGGAGAGGUCAGUGGAAUUCCGAG
rnacentral:rRNA from 1 species